AAACUUUUAACAACGGAUCUCUUGAGUUCUGGCAUCGAUGAAGAACGCAGCGAAAUGCGAUAAGUAAUGUGAAUUGCAGAAUUCAGUGAAUCAUCGAAUCUUUGAACGCACAUUGCGCCCGCCAGCAUUCUGGCGGGCAUGCCUGUUCG
rnacentral:rRNA from 1 species